GGAGUUAGCCGGGGUUUCGUUUACCAGGUACUGUCAUUAUCAUCCCUGGCGAAGGAGCUUUACGACCCUAGGGCCUUCAUCACUCACGCGGCAUGGCUAGAUCAGGCUUGCGCCCAUUGUCUAAGAUUCCCCA
rnacentral:rRNA from 1 species